rnacentral:rRNA from 1 species
UGGCGACCCCAGGUCAGGCGGGAUUA